AUACCAAUUGCUCCAAAUAGAUGUAUUUAGACCUUUAUUAUAACUAUUAAUAAUGGCAUAUGGUUAUAUAAAAUGCUUGCAUAUGCCCUCGUCUCUUGACAAUAUGGAAAAUGUUACUUAGUAUACAAUCCAAGGUAAAAUAAAUAAUGAGAAGUUAAUAAGGGGUGAAAGUGAAACAAACACAUUUAUUCAUCCAGUGAUGAAAUUCAUAGAUUAAUUAGAUUUUAUGAAACGAAAUUCCUAACACACAUCUCCUCAAUUCACCAUUUUUAAAUAAAUGGUUCCAUAUAUAUUAUUGAAUUAACUAAGAAGAUCAGGCCUGGUUCUUUCAACAGCCAAACAAGUGCUAAGCAAUUUCUUACUACCCUGAUAGAAAGUUGCAAAUUCAGCUGGCAUUGGUGUUUUCUUGAAUUCACCUUUACAAUCAUCCAAUCUUGUCAUUGCUGCUGAUAUUUUGAUGUUUGCACUUUUAGUUUUGUCACCUGUUUUCAACAACUCUUCUACCUCUUUCAAUGUCUCGAGAGCAUCAUUAUAUGAUUCUUUGCACCCUUUCCCAAUCUUAUUUUUUAAUUUUUGAUCUGUUGUUGGUGGCAAUUUUGCUAGCAUAUUUGCCAUAAUUGGCUCUGCCAAUUUAAUUUGCAUAAUUGUCUCUGACAACACACCAGUAAUUGCCUCUUGCCAUGUGUUAGCUGCCUUGACAACUUCAUUGCAAAAGGGCUUGUCUAAGGCUUUCACACAAAAUGGGCUUUCUUUGUAUGCUGGGGCUUCUUGUGCACUUGAUUGACAUGCAAAUAAAACACAAGUUAAAGCCAGAGAGACCAAUGACAAAGUAACCCCAUUUCUAUAAGACAUUUUCUAUUUUUUAUAUUGAUUUUUUUUUUUGCAAUUGUGAUUAUGUUUUUUUUUUUUUGUCACUUUUCUAAGAUGGUCUUCUCUGGGUUAAAUUUGAAAUGAAGAGGUAAAAAGUAUAUAUAAGUUUGUUUGGAACGGUAAUUGGGUGGAUGUUUGGAAUAUAUGGCUUGCAUUAUUUUGCUCUUUUGUUGUUGAAUUUUCCACAGCAUAAUGAGCACAUUUAUGAAUUAACUAGGAGUAGUUGUUUAUUCUCCCUCCGUUUAAAAAAGAAUAACCUACUUUGACUUGAUACAAAGUUUAAGAAAAAAAAAAAAACUUUUGAAUCUUGUGGCCUUAAAUUAAAGUUGUAUCAAAUGUAUCAAAAUGUCCUUUAAUCUUAUGAUCCUAAAUAUUAGAUAAAAUAUUAACCUAAAUAAUAAUAAUAAUAAUAAUAAUAAUAAUAAUAAUAAUAAUAAUAAUAAUAAUAAUAAUAAUAAUAAUAAUAAUAAUAAUAAUAAUAAUAAUUAGUAGAAAUUUACCAAAAAAAAUAGUAGAAGAAGCAGCAAUACAUGAGAUAUAAUAACAAUAAUAAUAAUAAUAUAAUAUUUUUAAAAAUUAAUAUUUUUAAUAAAAAAUGAUAAAAGAGAACAAAAAGGGAAAAAUAUAUGAAAAAUAAUAAUUAGUAGAAGUUUACCAAGAAAAAAAUAGUAGAAGAAGCAGCAAUACGUGGGAUAUAAUACUACUACUACUACUACUACUACUACUACUACUACUACUACUACUACUACUAAUAAUAAUAAUAAUAUAAGUAAAAAAUUAAUAUUAUAUGAAAAAAAUUAAAAUAAAUUGAUAGUAAUAUUUUAAUAUUGAUAACAUUAAUUUGAAAUAUUCUAUUUUAUUACAUUUAUUUUUAUUAUAGAAAAGUUAAUAUUUUUAAUAAAAAAUGAUAAAAUAAAAUAAAUAGGGAAAAAUAUGAAAAAAAUUAAAAUAAAUUGAUAGUAAUAUUUUAAUAUUGAUAACAUUAAUUUGAAAUAUUCUAUUUUAUUACAUUUAUUUUUAUUAUAGAAAACACCUAAUUGGUAUCAUUAAUUUCAAAUAUAUAAUUUUUGCAAACUCAAAAUAUCGAAUACUGUAAGAUAAUUAUGUCAUUUUAGAGUCAUCUUUCUAGUAUUCUAAAAAUUUUAAAAUCUUGAAUUUGAAAUGCAUUAUCUUUUUUUUCUAAAAUAAAAAAAAAUCAUUAUCAUUAACUUGAAAUUAGGAACAUAAGCUUAUCCCUUUCAAAUCCCUUUCAAAUAUAAUUUAAAAUAUAUUCAAAUAUUAAAUAAAAAAUAAAAUACUAAUCUAAAUAAUUUAUAUAUAUAUAAAAGCAAAACUAAAAGCAGACAAGAUGCCACAUGACAGCACAAUAGAAAGCCACAUGACAGUUUUUAAGACAAGGUUAUAAAUAUUGUAAUAAAAUUUUGAAUUAAAAUAUAAGAUGUUUGUAUUUAAAAAUAUUGAUUUUAUUUAAAAAUUAUCAUUAGCUUGAAAUUAGGAACAUAAGCUUAUCCCUUUCAAAUAUAAUUUAAAAUAUAUUCAAAUAUUAAAUAAAAAAUAAAAUAUUAACCUAAAUAAUAAUAAUAAUAAUUAGUAGAAGUUUACCAAGAAAAAAAUAGUAGAAGAAGGACCAGUACGUGAAAUAUAAUAAUAAUAAUAAUAAUAAUAAUAAUAAUAUAAGAUUUAAAAAAUUAAUAUUUUUAAUAAAAAAUGAUAAAAGAGAACAAAAAUGGAAAAACAUAUGAAAAAUAAUAAUUAGUAGAAGUUUACCAAUAAAAAAAUAGUAGAAGAAGUAGCAAUACGUGGGAAAUAAUAAUAAUAAUAAUAAUAAUAAUAAUAAUAAUAAUAUAAGUUAAAAAUUAAUAUUUUUAAUAAAAUAUGAUAAAAGAGAAUAAAAAGGGAAAAAUAUGAAAAAAGUUAAAAUAAAUUGAUAUUAAUAUUUUAAUAUCGAUAACAUUAAUUUGAAAUAUUUUGUUUUAUUAAAUUUAUUUUUCUCUAUAAUAUAUUACAAUUCAAAUUAAUCUCUAAAUAAUAUUAACUCAUUAUAAUUAUUUUCUAAAUUCUAUAAAUAUUUUGUUUCUAGUAGAAAACUAUUUUCCCCACAUUUAAACAUUUUUAUCAAAUUUUUUAAAUCAAAAUGAUGGGUAUUUUAGAUGACUAUAUAUCUUCGACAUGUUAGUAUCAUUGAGGUUAUACUUGAUUAAUGGUAAGGAUAUUUUAAUAUAUUUUUACAAAUUUUCAAUAAAUUAACACUACAAAAUUUGAGAGUUUUCAUUACUUUUUUUAUAUUUUAUUUUAUUAUGCCACAUAAAUUAAGAUGGGAUGAGAUGAUAAUUAGAAUAUAUCCAAAAUACAUAUAUUUUUUUAGUUAAAGUAUACAAAUAAAAAUAAAUGCGAAUACAAAAUCAAACAAAAGUCAAAGAAAUCAAAGCUGACCCAAAGCAAAUAAAGUAAAGGAUCGGAUUAUGGUCCAAUAAUUUUAAAAAUACAAGAAAAAUAUAAAUUAGGAAAGUAAACAAAUAUUAUUUGUUUUUGUCUGAACUCCAGAAGGUUCCUUUGAAAUUCUAUCUUUCCGCAAACAUUUUCUUUCUAUUAUGAUACUACAUAUUAUUUUAGCAAAAAAUUGAUGAAUAAGCUGAAAUUAUGAAGCUCAAAAUUAAACUUUUAUAGACCAAAUACUGAAGAGUAUGUUCCUACUAUAUUCAUUGAAUAACGGUGUGUCAAGCUUCGCUUGUAAUUCCAUCUUCUUUCCCUGUUUUCUUUAUUUUUGUUUACGCUUUAACCUGUUUGAAGAUUUGAUUUUCUUAACCGUUUUUUGCUUUAUAUUUUGUAUGUUUUGAUCUCUUAAAAUCACUGUUGCAUUAUAUGUUCUUAGUUUUGAUUUUUUGUUCCUCCUUUUGAUUUGUAUGUUCGAAGAUUUCAUUUUUUUAAAUUCAUUCUGAUUUAAUUUCUUGUUUCAGGUGCGAUUUGCUUGAUAUUUACAUAUAAUAUGUGUCAGGUAUGCUUAAUGUUGCCAAUUUUGAAUAUCCUGAUGUUUGCAUGUCAGCUCAGAUACUUGAAUUUGAGAAGAUACCAGAGGCCUCUAUCCUUUCAUCCCUUGGAUGGACCACGUCAAAUAAUAGAAGAUAUAUAUUUUUGUUAAAAAAAUACACAUCCUCAGAACUAUAUGUAAAUAAAACAACGAAUAACAUUAGAUGAUUGACUUUUAAUGUUGUUGAAUGCGUAGGUGAACGUCCAAUCAAAACCUUAAUCUACAUGCAUAUUUAAUAGCUAUGAGACUCCAUCGUUCGCCCUUACCAAUUAUCUGUUCUAUUUUUAAUUUUUAAUUAAUAAAACAUUCCUCAGCGCCGUCUAAGAAGUCCUAACAUACCUUGAAUGCUGAACACAUACCACGAACCCUCAAGAUUUCACCCUUUUCUUUCCCAAAAUUUCAAAACAUUCUCAAUCUAUCAAAUAUAUUAUUCAUAAGUAAGAGAAUUCAAUUUAUAAUUGAAUUUCAACCAUGAUAUCAUUUCACAUGUCAAUUUCAUAUUUUGUAAAUUUCAAACUUAGGGCUUCGUCUCAAGUUACUCCAAAUCUCAUACAUUUAACAAUGUUCAUAGAGUACAAUAUAUCUAAUAUUUAAUUACACAUGCUAAAUAUUAAAACUUAAAUCGUAAUAUGAUAACUAUAAGAAAAUCUGAAAUCAGAAAAUGAUACAGUACCUAAAAUAAUAAGUCAAUGCUUGAUUAUAUCCCUAUUUACAAGUUUCAUAAUAUCAGUUUUAACUAAUCAUUAGCUCAUGAUUUUCCAUCAUAAUCCCUUCAAUCAUUGUCCAUCCUUAGCCAUCCAAAAACUGGCUAAGUUUUCCAUCCAAAAAAAGUGUGUUGCACUUCUGUCACUUCCACACAACCAUUACUUAGAGUUAUACAUUCAAAUCAAUAUAAGAAAUAAUUAUGUGUAUACAUUUUAGCAGUUAGUGUAUAUGAACAGAAAUUUGAGGUUUGAUUAGAUUCAUCUGAAACAACAAUUUUAAAUUUUUACAACUAUUUUCGUCCGUCUUCUCUUGCAUUCAGAUAAAUUUAGUAUAUAAAUUUUUACUUGAUAUAUUAAUUAUAUUAAAGUACAAUAAAGAAUAGACAAAUCAAACAUAUAUCUUUGUAAAAAGAAAGUACUUGUUUUAUAAUUAUAUGAAAAUACAACAAAGGAUAGCAUGUGUUUCCUACCCUUUUAAUAUUGAUGAAUGCACAGAUAGUCGUUCAAGAAAAAUCCAAACCUAGAAGUACACCUAAUAUCUGCAACGACAACAAUCUAACUACCCGGAGAACUUACCCUUACCCUACAAUUAGUAUUCUUAUCGGGUAAGAGAUUAUUUAAUAGAUUCUCAGCUUAAGAAAUAAUAAUAUUAAUAAUUAAAAAAAUUAAAGAAUAAAUUAACAAACUUACCGCAAAAUUUGUACUAACCUAAAAUAGUUGUCAUCACAAUAUUUUGCGGAGAAAUUUUGACUUUUUGAGAGUCGUCACUUAAUUUCUGAAAAGGAAUUAAGAAACCUUUAGAGAGUUACUUCAAACAAUUCAAAACAGGAAAACGUUUGAGUUUUGAAGAUUCUGAGUAAGCAGUUCCUAUUAACAUUUUAGGAAGGUGUUAGGCACCUAAAACGUCCGCUAACUUGCGGUUAUCCAAUUUGUUUGAAAAUCAUCUCUUUUGACAAACUUGAAAAUCGACUUGUGGGAAAAGUAAUUGAUUAAGGAAAUUUUUUUUUGCAAAAUCAGUUUUUUAGCGACUUAGUGAGGAGGUUAACUAUAUUCGAACACUAAGCAAAUAAAAUAACGAAAGAGAAAUAGAGGAAGAAAUAAAUGAUUUGGGCCUUCAUACCCAAAUCCGUCACCCUGUCUUAGUCUAGAUAUUGGGCUUUCGGCCCGUCUUUCACCUGUCCUAGUCUGUAUUUCGAGCCUUUGGCUUUAGUAUUGCUCCACCUGUAUUAAAUUUACAACUUUGACUUCGAGGCCCAAAUGAAUGAAUGAAUGAAUAAAUAAAUAAAUAAAUAAAUAAAUAAAUAAAUAAAUAAGUAAAUAAAUAAAUAAAAGACGAUAAUAAAUUUAUAAAAUGAAAUAAUAAAUGAGACUUUUAUCUCUUAACCACUUCAAAGAUGGAACUUUAACUCAUUCUUCUUCUUUUGACUCUUUACACUCAUAUGCCGCGGAAAACGCUUUAGACUUCUUUUGGGCUUUAACUCGAAAUUAAUCACUUAUUUCUGCAGCUCAUGAUUUCUUAAAGUCGAGUUUAAGGAAUGGUCUAAAACAAAAUUAGUGGCUUUGAUACCAUUUCAAAGAGUCUAAUCACAAAUCUUAAAUAAUUUGUGAAGUUAUCCCCGACCAUUAUAAGUCCCUUCAAAAUUCUUACUGUUCUGUCUCUGUUUUGCUUCAAGCAUUUAAUUUAUAAAAUUAACUAGCUUGAUUAAAUUAAUUACAUACAGUAGGAGGUUUAAUUUUAGAGCUCUCAAAUAUUGAAGAAGAUCCAAAUUUCUAAAAAUCAAAUUUGAGACCUCUAUCUAAUAAGGUAUUAGAAACCUUUAAUUAGCCAUAUGAGUCAUCAACCCUUUGGUAGCACUAGACUUCUUAUUGUGAGCUAAGUUCAAAGUAUAUUUGAUAUCAACACAAUAAUUUUAGAGAACUCUCAUGUUCUUUUUUCUCACAAUUAAAAUUAGGAUUAGAUUGUGGUAUAGAAUAAUCCGAUAUACUGUAACAAUCACUAUCAAUUAGUUAGUAAUACAGGUCAAAGAGGUAUCUUAGCAUUCGAGGACAUGAAGACGUGAGGGAACACCUGAGCUUGUGGAGCUGCCUAACCAAGGAACAAGCUUUGAAGUGUAGAGAACAAGUCCCAGCACUCCAAAGCUGUCCAAGAAGUCAAGCCCCUUUGUUUGGGCUCAUUAAGGACCUUUAGGUCAUUUAUGUAACAAGUGUUGCCCUAACUUAUAAAUAGAACAAUUGGAUCAUUUUGUCAUUUAGACUUUGAUGAUAUGUUUUGAGAGCACCAUAGAGUGUCUUGUAAAGUGGAAUCCUUGUGUUGGUAACUUGCUUAGAAACGUUGGUUGUUUGGGGAUUCCAGUUCCCUUGAGUUCACGUAAGAGAUAGGUUUAUGUUGUGUGUGGUAUUAAAGGUUCAAGAGUAGAAUAAGGUCUUAGGUUGUUAAUAUUACAUCUCCAUUUGUCUAUCUUUCUAUCUUUACUUUGUUCUAAUUGUUGGUCUUCUUGUUCUAGUAUUGUAACCCGUGACUUGUUGUCAUUGUUAUAUCCUUCUUGUUAUUCAUCUGGUCUUCAUAUUGUUGUUGUUAAUCUUACUUUGGGUUGGUUGUUUCGGUGUUAAAACACACCUUUUACUCGUCAUUAUUGUUGUUAUUGUUGAAUCCGAGUGUGGUCUCUAAACGGUCCUUGAAUUUUCGGAUUUGUGGACUGUUUUGAGUGUGUUUUCUUGUAUUCUUGAUAAUUCCGGGAUCGGUUAGUGAGUCUAGCUUCGGUUUGUACACGUGAGUUCUCAUUAUAUGAUUUAUUAUGUGUGAUCUAAUAAAAUUAGACUAAAUUACGUGUAUUCUUUCAAUUUACCAUAAGACUUCCUAAGAAGAUGUACAUUACAACACGCUCGGUAUAUACCAAUUGCUCCAAAUAGAUGUAUUUAGACCUUUAUUAUAACUAUUAAUAAUGGCAUAUGGUUAUAUAAAAUGCUUGCAUAUGCCCUCGUCUCUUGACAAUAUGGAAAAUGUUACUUAGUAUACAAUCCAAGGUAAAAUAAAUAAUGAGAAGUUAAUAAGGGGUGAAAGUGAAACAAACACAUUUAUUCAUCCAGUGAUGAAAUUCAUAGAUUAAUUAGAUUUUAUGAAACGAAAUUCCUAACACACAUCUCCUCAAUUCACCAUUUUUAAAUAAAUGGUUCCAUAUAUAUUAUUGAAUUAACUAAGAAGAUCAGGCCUGGUUCUUUCAACAGCCAAACAAGUGCUAAGCAAUUUCUUACUACCCUGAUAGAAAGUUGCAAAUUCAGCUGGCAUUGGUGUUUUCUUGAAUUCACCUUUACAAUCAUCCAAUCUUGUCAUUGCUGCUGAUAUUUUGAUGUUUGCACUUUUAGUUUUGUCACCUGUUUUCAACAACUCUUCUACCUCUUUCAAUGUCUCGAGAGCAUCAUUAUAUGAUUCUUUGCACCCUUUCCCAAUCUUAUUUUUUAAUUUUUGAUCUGUUGUUGGUGGCAAUUUUGCUAGCAUAUUUGCCAUAAUUGGCUCUGCCAAUUUAAUUUGCAUAAUUGUCUCUGACAACACACCAGUAAUUGCCUCUUGCCAUGUGUUAGCUGCCUUGACAACUUCAUUGCAAAAGGGCUUGUCUAAGGCUUUCACACAAAAUGGGCUUUCUUUGUAUGCUGGGGCUUCUUGUGCACUUGAUUGACAUGCAAAUAAAACACAAGUUAAAGCCAGAGAGACCAAUGACAAAGUAACCCCAUUUCUAUAAGACAUUUUCUAUUUUUUAUAUUGAUUUUUUUUUUUGCAAUUGUGAUUAUGUUUUUUUUUUUUUGUCACUUUUCUAAGAUGGUCUUCUCUGGGUUAAAUUUGAAAUGAAGAG
rnacentral:lncRNA from 1 species